rnacentral:rRNA from 1 species
UACAGAGGAGCCAAGCGUUGUUCGGAAUUACUGGGCGUAAAGCGCACGUAGGCGGAAUGUUAAGUCAGGGGUGAAAUCCCGGGGCUCAACCCCGGAACUGCCUUUGAUACUGGCAUUCUCGAGUCCGGAAGAGGUGAGUGGAAUUCCGAGUGUAGAGGUGAAAUUCGUAGAUAUUCGGAGGAACACCAGUGGCGAAGGCGGCUCACUGGUCCGGUACUGACGCUGAGGUGCGAAAGCGUGGGGAGCAAACAGG